CUUUUUUUUCUUUGAUUUUCACAUAUAUAUAUAGGUGUGAAUAUAUGCAUUUUUUUCUGUUCAUUCUUGAAUCGUUCAUAGUUGGAUGAGGAAAAAUAGCGAAAAAAAAUCAUUUUUGAAUGCACUGUUGGAAGUUUAGUUUGGUUAUGAUUUGUUUUGAGGAUUGCUGAUGAUCAAACAUCAUUUAUCAAGCAAUCAACCAAAGAACAACCACCACGAUCGUGUAGCUAAAAUCAAAUAAUAAAACUGGUUCAGCAUGGUGAGCCUCUCUAAAUGAUGUUAUGGAUAUUGAAGAAGAAAAAAUUUUAUUUCUUCUCAAUGACCAAAUCGAUAAUUUCCAAUAAUCGUUAUUGAUGAUUUCAUGAUAAAUAAACAUUCAUUCCAAUUGAAAAAAAAUAAAAAUAAAAUCAAAU